ACAGUGGCUUUUUUAAAAGCCAAAUAACUCUCAAAUCAUGCCUAUUU
rfam:Myotis brandtii contig247383, whole genome shotgun sequence.